rnacentral:misc_RNA from 1 species
GUUCUCUCCUCUCCUCUCUUCUUGUUUGAACAUGGUGCGGACUAAAGCAGACAGUGUUCCAGGCACUUACAGAAAAGUGGUGGCUGCUCGAGCCCCCAGAAAGGUGCUUGGUUCUUCCACCUCUGCCACUAAUUCGACAUCAGUUUCAUCGAGGAAAGCUGAAAAUAAAUAUGCAGGAGGGAACCCCGUUUGCGUGCGCCCAACUCCCAAGUGGC